CCUACGGGUGGCAGCAGUGGGGAAUAUUGGGCAAUGGGCGCAAGGCUGACCCAGCAACGCCGCGUGAAGGAAGAAGGCUUUCGGGUUGUAAACUUCUUUUAUUGAGGACGAAACAAAUGACGGUACUCAAUGACUAAGCCACGGCUAACUACGGGCCAGCAGCCGCGGUAAUACGGAGGUGGCAAGCGUUAUCCGGAUUUACUGGGUGUAAAGGGCGUGUAGGCGGGACUGCAAGUCAGGUGGUAAAACCAUGGGCUCAACACAUUGUCUGCAGUUGAAACUGGAGGUCUUGAGUGAAGGAGAGGCAGGCGGAAUUCGGGGGGUAGCGGUGAAAUGCGUAGAUAUACCGAGGAACACCAGGGGCGAAGGCGGCCUGCUGGACAUUAACUGACGCUGAGGCGCGAAAGCGUGGGUAGCAAACAGGAUUAGAUACCCUUGUAGUC
rnacentral:rRNA from 1 species